rnacentral:rRNA from 1 species
UACGGAGGGUGCAAGCGUUAUCCGGAUUCACUGGGUUUAAAGGGUGCGUAGGCGGGCAGGUAAGUCCGUGGUGAAAUCUCCGAGCUUAACUCGGAAACUGCCAUGGAUACUAUUUGUCUUGAAUACUGUGAAGGUGAGCGGAAUAUGUCAUGUAGCGGUGAAAUGCUUAGAUAUGACAUAGAACACCAAUUGCGAAGGCAGCUCACUGCGCAGUGAUUGACGCUGAGGCACGAAAGCGUGGGGAUCAAACAGGAUUAGAAACCCCCGUAGUCC